CGCACUCAUUCGUCUCCUCCCUCCUUUUCCCCGACACACAUAUACACACACACACACGAAAUAGUACCCACCAUUGACACCACCGCAGCCGAAAGGGGAGAAACCACAGUUUUCUGUGUUCCACGCCUUUACCUCUCGUGACAGUCUCGUGUACAAUUUUUCGACGCUGCUUCUGUUCUUGUGUUUUCCUAACGUUUUUUUUUUGGGCGUUUAGAGUCGUUUUACGCACACACGCACAUCCGCACAGGAACACGAGAGAACAACUGUUGUUCGCGUUCUUCGCCUCUCGACUGGGCUGAGCGACUCCGUCUCACUCUCCCCCGUUUUCUCCACCAAAAAAACUGUGCUAAGCAUUGCCUGAAGGCAAGAUGUCCGCCUUGCCCAACGGUUCCAUUCCAGCCGACUUAGAGAAGUCGAUGCUGGAGAUCAUGCACGAUGUCGGUCUCAGUACGCUGAGCAAGAAUACUCUGCGCCGGCGUCUGGAGGCCAAGUACAAGAUGGACUUUACGCCUCUCACUGCGGAGGUGGACCGGUUAGUGGGCAAGCUGAUGACCACCCCUGAGAUUCAGCGGGAGCUGGCCAAGAUUCAGAAGGAGAAGGAGGACGUCAGCGCCCGCCGCUUGAAGCGUGAGCGCAGCCCCAGCAGCACCAAGAAAUCUAAGAAAGACAAGGAAAGUGCGCGCGGGAAGAAGGAGAAAAAACCGGACGACUACCCGAAAGGUGCCCUCUCUCCGUACAUUAUCUUCGUGAACGAGAAUCGCGAGAAGCUAAAGGCGAAGCACCCUGAUAUGAAGAACACCGAUCUCCUUUCAGAGAUGGGCAACUUGUGGAAAAAAGCUUCCGAGGAGGAGAAGAGCCGCUAUCAGAAGCUCGCAGAUGAGGACAAGCUGCGUUACGAUCGCGAGAUGGCGGCUUACAUCGCUCGCGGCGGCGCUGUCUUCAAGCGCGGCGGCAAGAAGGCAAAAAGGGAGAAAAAGGAGAAGGACCCUCAAGCACCGAAGCGUGCUCUGACCGCGUACUUCUUCUUUGCCAGCGACUACCGCGCCAAGCACGCCAACAUCCCCGCGAAGCAGCAGAUGAGCGAGGCCGGCGCAGCGUGGGGCAAGAUGUCUGCAGAGGAGAAGAAGCCGUACGAGGAGCUGGCUGCCAAAGACAAGAAACGUUACGAGGCGGAAUGCUCAGGUCGCGGCUCAAAGCCGUCUCAGCCGAAGGCUGCCGACUCUGCGUCGUCGUCUUCGGCAGACUCGAGCAGCAGCGACUCGGAUGAGACCGACUAGACGGGCAUGGUGCACAACAGCGGGGAUGCCGAUCACCGCAUCUCUCCUCCUUCCUUCCUCCAAGCUUCUCCGCGGCUUUUCAUUUUUGUCUACAGUAGCCCCCAAGUGGGGCAGCCUUUCUUUCAGACAUUAUUGCAGAUGCUAACACCAACCCAUAGACAGCACAUCCCGAGUGAGGUGGUGGUGUGAGGGAUUACGUGGUUGAGAGGUACAGAGAGAACGUGGUAAGUAGGUGCGCAGUAAAGUAACCGGAGCGUCCCUCUUUUUGAUUGUGAUGCGGCUCUACGUGCACCCAGCCACACACGCACCCCCUCUGCGUUGUGUUGAGGUUCAACCGCGUUCUCCUUUUUCUUCGGUGUGAAGGAAAAUGUGCGAUGGGGAGCGUGAGCGCUGCGGCGCGGUGACCCCGGAGUGGAGCUGUCGUAGCACCGAACUCGCCCAUCUCCGACCCACGCUUUUGCCGUCUGUCUGUUUUCUUCGCCGUGUGCCGUCGAGCACCACGCAGUCCACUCUAUAAACGUGUCUUUUUUUUUUGUAUGCUCUUGGUGUUCGCUAGAAUGCAGACGCGCCCCGUCAGCCACGGCAUAGACUCCUCUCCCUACUCGCUCACCUUUCGAGAGUGCCUUGUUGUUUCUCUACCUCUUCCUUCACUUCUCUACCAUUCCUCCCCUCUCCGCCGUGGUGGUGUUUGCCUGUACAGACACCUGUGACUCAAGCUGCACGGUGACAGAAGGCUCGACCUCAAAGCAGACGGCAUAGAUGAAAUUGGCCGUCUCGAGGCUUCCUCGCCCCAUUUUUUCUUUGUCUUUUCGUCUCGCGAUGGACUUGGGCAAAGAGGGUGGUUGCUUGGUCAUCCCUCUCGCACCGGUCGUGCCCAGGCGUGCUCGUUUCUCUUACUUCUUUACCGUUACAACGGCGCUUGGUGUGCUGCGGCGUGCGCAGCCAGGGCUAGCGAUGGCGGCGUGGAGGGCAGACCCCCCUCCAAAAAAAAAGAAAAUAAUAGAAGCGAAGAGUCACGGGUAUCGUGAAGGCUAUAUUUAGCUCAGAAACGAUUGCGUAACUUCUUCGCACUCGUCAGGUGGAGAUACGGCAGGGCGACUCUAGCAAGGGCAGCGAGAGGGACAUCGUUUUAAUUUCGUUCUUUGUGUUCCUGUUCUCUUUACUUGCGUUAGCGAGGGGGGGCGGGGCUCCGCGGUCGACACGAGAAGCAGCACGCCUGUGCGACGAAGAGAACAGAAGGGUGGGGGCGGGCGAACGAAAAAAGGACAGGGAGGACGCCGAUAGGGAAAGAAAAACUUUUAACACAGUAUAGGGCACGACUCUCGACGCGCCGCACUUCCUCGGCUACAAUAAU
rnacentral:misc_RNA from 1 species